UUCUGGGACGAUUGACAGAUUGAGAGCUCUUUCUUGAUUCGGUGGAUGGUGGUGCAUGUCUGUUCUCAGUUGGUGGAGCGAUUUGUCUGGUUAAUUCCGAUAACAAACGAGACUCAAGCCUAUUUCAUAGGUGCGUGGUUCUCUGCACCUUGCACCCUUCUUAGAGGGACAAGCGGCUCCUAGCCGCACGAAACAGAGCAAUAACAGGUCUCUGAUGCCCUUAGA
rnacentral:rRNA from 1 species